rnacentral:ncRNA from 1 species
UGCUCCGGUGGCACGAGCGAUCUCCCCCAAGAAACACGAGAGGGAAAGAACCCGACCAAACCCCACCCCUCCCUCCCACCCGCAGCGCAAACUCACCCAAGCGGGUGAACAUCACCAACUCGGCUGGAUUCGGGGCAGGUUGUCUGCCUUACGCUCGCCGCAACACAACCGCAGACAUACGACGGCCCCCGCCGGGACGGCAAUCCCAGUGCGAGGGCCUGACCACCAAGGAAGAAAGCCCUUCCCG